AACGAACGCUGGCGGCAUGCCUAACACAUGCAAGUCGAACGAGACCUUCGGGUCUAGUGGCGCACGGGUGCGUAACGCGUCGGAACCUUCCCUUAUGUUUGGAAUACCUCUCCGACAGGGGUGCUAACACCGGAUAAUUUCUUCUAACCAAAGAUUUAUCGCCUUUGGAUGGGCCCGCGUUGGAUUAGCUUGUUGGUAGGGUAAAAGCCUACCACGGCGACGUUCCAUAGCUGGUCUGAGAGGAAGAUCAGCCACACUGGGACUGAGACCCGGCCCAGACUCCUACGGGAGGCAGCAGUGGGGAAUAUUGGAAAAUGGGGGAAAGCAUGAACCAGCAAUGCCGCGUGAGUGAUGAAGGCCUUAGGGUAGUAAAGCUCUUUUACCCGGGAUGAUAAUGACAGUACCGGGAGAAUAAGCUCCGGCUAACUCCGUG
rnacentral:rRNA from 1 species